UCAUUGAAGCCCAUCCACUGCUGGUAGUCGGGGUAGUCGCCGCGCCGCAGGAAGUACUGGUGGCCCUGGUAGUUGGGGCGCUCAUAGAGCAUCCAGCAGCCGCUGUCCACCCGGAUGGAGUUGCAGCGGCUGACGUAGGGCUGCAGGUUGGGGCAGUCGCUGCUGCACUCGUAGCAGCGGCCCUGGAAGCCCCGGUCCUCGUAGAAGGUGAUCUGCAAAAUGGAAGAUGUGGAAGCAUGAAGCGAUUUGCAGCCCCGCUGAAGAUGCCGCGACCCGGGAAAGGUUGAGCAUCAGGUACCCAAGCACUUACCUUUCCCAUUCUGGAGAGAGGAAGCAGGAGGUGUUCGCUGGAUGCUGUGUGCGACUAGGGGGAGGGCCGCUGUAUAAAUAGCAGCCCUGACUGCUGCCUCCGCAGGAAAUCACACAAAAGGAGCCCAUUUCGAGCACAGGCUCCUGACGCACAGGCUCUGCGGCCAUGGCUCACGGGCCCAGCCGCUCCGUGGCAUGUGGGAUCUUCCCGGACCGGGACACGAACCCGUGUCCCCUGCAUCAGCAGGCCGACUCUCAACCACUGCGCCACCAGGGAAGCCCUCUUUUUUUUUUUGUUCUAAUCUCUUAACAUGCAUAAUAUCAGUUAAUCAUUUCAACGACCUUAAGAGAUAAGUACCAUUAUUCUUCCCAUUUUGCAGAGGAGGAGAGGUUAAGCAACUUGCCCAAAGUCAUACAGCUGGUAUAUUAUACAGCGGGCUUUAGUUUCAAACCCAGAGUAUCUAACUCCCAAAGGCUAGACUUUUAGCCACAAUAUAAGUAAAGUACUCCCCAAACACCUGGUAUCAGUUGGGUUCAGUUUGCAUUUUUAGACCUACUUUGUUCUUUGGCUGUGUGUCCAAAGAUAAAUUAUUUUAUGGUUUCCAUUCUGUGACAUUUGCUUCCUUUGUAGAGCUGCUGGUGGCAUUUUGAUUCGUUGCUCCCCUUCUUAACUUGACACCUAGAGACACAUGUAGUCAUCAUGUCUGUAUAAAAAGCAUUUUUUAAAAUGAGUCCAUCUCAGUUUUACAUCCUUCCCUUCUAGGGUGCUUUGCUUCCAUCACCAAAAUUUCUGAGAAAUGACUUCCCUGAUUUCAAUGAUGGAGGGAAAUCAAGUCAUAAAUGCUCCUGAUUCUUUUAAAUUCCACCAGACAGAAAGAUGUUACCAUAACAACUUUGACCUUACUUUUUUAAUGAGUUGAAGAGACCACAUGGAGAAUCCUAGGUUGAGAAGAUGAGGAAGAGGACAUUCUGGGGGGAUCAAGAUUAGCCUUGCUUGCGAUAGAUAUUAGAUCCCCGUUCUGUCCCCAUAAUACACGUAUGACACAGAUGUGACUCGUGGCAGCAUGCCUUUCUUUACCAUAUCAUCUAGAAAGGUCGUACAGGUUUCAUCGGUCCUUUCGGGAUGCUUGUUUUUGGAGCCCAGCUGUGAUGCUAUAGGUAUGUCCAGGCUACAAUGGAGAGGUUAUUGUGGGGUUCUGCAUGACAGCCCCAUCUGGGGUCCCAGUCAAUAGACACAUGAGUGGGGAAACAGCCACAGCUGCCAUCUGACUGCAACCGCGUGUGAGACCCCAGAGAUUGAGAGCAAGCCACAAGAACUUGGCAAUGGAGUGGCUUCUAUCUUGAGCACAUCCUGGUAUGACCUCUACCCUGUGGUUUGCCUGUGGGGCUAUAAUCUGUUUUAAAGUGCUAUCCCUAAAACCUAGUUAAAAGGAUCUAACAAUGUGGCUUUAGAUUCUUAGCUACAUGUGACAUUUCACUGCAGCAGAGGAAAAGGAAAAUGCUUGUUGAUAACAUUCUUCUCUGUAAUGAAUAUUCUCCCACAAACUGGAAAAGCAUAUACUGUGUGUAUUUUAAGAAACAUAUUAAAACAGUUCUUAUGAGUAGAGCAAAUCAGCUGUUUGGUGAUGAUUUUAUACACAAGGCACUGGGCAGCCAAAGGAACACAUCUGAGCCCCUUUGGAGAUUUCUACUCUGGUUGGAAAUCAAUGUAGCAGCAAACAAUAUCUUACCAAUGGGAUUGGUAGAUGUCUCCUGUCCUUUCUGGUACAUUCGGUAGUGACGUGUUACAGUCCCGUGGGCAGCCUCUGCUUCUACUGUCUUGCCAUCUGGACAAACCAGCACACUGGUCAUCAUGCCAAGAGAGCCAUAACCUAUGAGUGGCAGAACAUGAAGUAUGGGAUUCAACUGCAUGAAGAGCACUGGGUCUCCCAGAGAUGAGAGAAAAUGACUUCGUCUUGACCGGUCUCAGUGAGCAAAAUAAACAUGAGCACAUGGAGUCACCAAUAAUUCUUCUGCCUUUCAGAAAAGGCUGUGCUUUUACUUCACUUAUCUACCUCAGAGGCACCUGCUCCAUGAUGAAGAACUCAUGGUCGGACUGCCUGCAUUCCACCCUAGUUCCGUGACUCCCUAACUACUGUGGCUCAGUUUUCUUACCUGUAAAAUGGGAAUAGUAGAAACACCUAUUUCAUAGGGUUGCUGUGAGAACGAGAUGAAUAUGCAUAUGUUCGUGAAUAUAUAUGAAAAGAAUACAUAGUCCUAUUCCUUAGACUAGUACCCGCCACAGAGUAAGAGCUCAAUAUAUUACUGUCAUGCUUACGUGCAGAUACUCUGCUGUUCCAGGAAAAUAAAGAUUAAUGAGUUGUCUCCUGCCAUCAAGCUGCUCACAGGCUCAUGUGGGACUGGGAAGAGAAAGCUGAUUAAAAACAGAAUGGGAUGGGGCUUCCCUGGUGGCACAGUGGUUAAGAAUCCACCUGGCAAUGCAGGGGACACGGGUUCAAGCCCUGGUCCGGGAAGAUUCCACAUGCUGUGGAGCAACUAAGCCCAUGUGCCACAACUACUGAGCCUACGCUCCAGAGCCCGUGAGCCACAACUCCUGAAGCCUGCGCACCUACAGCCCGUGCUCCGCAACAAGAGAAGCCACCGCAAUGAGAAGCCUGCGCACCGCAACGAAGAGUAGCCCCCGCUUGCCACAGCUAAAGAAAGCCUGCACGCAGCAACAAAGACCCAACGCAGCCAAAAAUAAAUAAAUUUUUAAAAAGCAACAACAAAAA